rnacentral:lncRNA from 1 species
AGGAAAAGGACAUAACCCAGUGUUUUCAACAGUCACAUUGAUAAAGGCAGCCGGAAGACACAUGCAACUUAUUAGGAACAUCACACUGCAGAGAGUAUUCUUCACAUUGUGCUUUUGGGGGAAUAGAGUCCUCCCCUCAACAAAUACACCAAUGAUACAAAGCUGGAAAUAGUGACUGACACACCAGAAAUCUGUGCUGCCAUUCAGCGAGACCUGGACAGGCUGGAGAGCUGGGCAGAGAGGAACCUGAUGAGAUUCAAAAACAGCAAGUGUAGAGUCUUGCACCUGGGUAGGAAUAAUCACAUGCAUCAGUAGAGGUUAGUCAUACAGACGUUGUGCACACACUCUAUAAGUAACAUAUUGAAGUAGUGAAUGAGACUAGUCCUAGGACAGAGUCCUCUUGUAGA